GACGAACGCUGGCGGCGUGCUUAACACAUGCAAGUCGAACGGAAAGGCCCUGCUUUUGUGGGGUGCUCGAGUGGCGAACGGGUGAGUAACACGUGAGUAACCUGCCCUUGACUUUGGGAUAACUUCAGGAAACUGGGGCUAAUACCGGAUAGGAGCUCCUGCUGCAUGGUGGGGGUUGGAAAGUUUCGGCGGUUGGGGAUGGACUCGCGGCUUAUCAGCUUGUUGGUGGGGUAGUGGCUUACCAAGGCCUUGACGGGUAGCCGGCCUGAGAGGGUGACCGGCCACAUUGGGACUGAGAUACGGCCCAGACUCCUACGGGAGGCAGCAGUGGGGAAUAUUGCACAAUGGGCGGAAGCCUGAUGCAGCAACGCCGCGUGCGGGAUGAAGGCCUUCGGGUUGUAAACCGCUUUCGCCUGUGACGAAGCGUGAGUGACGGUAAUGGGUAAAGAAGCACCGGCUAACUACGUG
rnacentral:rRNA from 1 species